AACGAACGCUGGCGGCGUGUUUAAGACAUGCAAGUCGCACGGGAUAAGACAUGUAGUAAUACUUGUUUUAUUUAGUGGCGCACGGGUGAGUAACACGUGAAUUACAUGCCCUAUAGUGGGGAAUAGCCCAGGGAAACUUAGAUUAAUACACCUUGGUAUCGAAAGAUUAAAGGUGGCCGCAAGGCUGUCGCUAUAGGAUUGGUUCGCGCCCUAUCAGCUUGUUGGUGAGGUAACGGCUCACCAAGGCAAUGACGGGUACCUGGUCUGAGAGGACGAUCAGGCACACUGGAACUGAGACACGGUCCAGACACCUACGGGUGGCAGCAGUCGAGAAUAAUUCACAAUGGGGGCAACCCUGAUGGUGCAACGCCGCGUGGAGGAUGACGGUCUUCGGAUUGUAAACUCCUGUCAUCUGGGAGAAAGACCUGACGGUAAAUAGCCGGCAGGGUUGAUAGUACCAGAAGAGGAAGGGACGGCUAACUUCGUGCCAGCAGCCGCAGUAA
rnacentral:rRNA from 1 species